rnacentral:rRNA from 1 species
AAAUUGAAGAGUUUGAUCAUGGCUCAGAUUGAACGCUGGCGGCAGGCCUAACACAUGCAAGUCGAACGGUAACAGGAAGCAGCUUGCUGCUUUGCUGACGAGUGGCGGACGGGUGAGUAAUGUCUGGGAAACUGCCUGAUGGAGGGGGAUAACUACUGGAAACGGUAGCUAAUACCGCAUAACGUCGCAAGACCAAAGAGGGGGACCUUCGGGCCUCUUGCCAUCGGAUGUGCCCAGAUGGGAUUAGCUUGUUGGUGGGGUAACGGCUCACCAAGGCGACGAUCCCUAGCUGGUCUGAGAGGAUG